rnacentral:lncRNA from 1 species
CGGAUCCUAUCGGGCCUUUGGGUCGGGUCACACGGGUUGCUAAUGUGGCGCCGUUUUUAAACACCCUUCAAACCCUAAUCAAAACCCCAUCCUCCCACAACAGCAACAACCAUAGGAGACCGUCUCCUCCUCUCCUCUGCUAGGGCUUCGACCCAGCUCGGAGACCAAACACCAUGCCGUCGCACCCCAUCGCAGCACCUUCGAGUACCGAGGCCAGUGUCGCGCCAAACGAGACCUUCCCAGCCUCCCUUUCAUACUUCAAUUAUAAUCUUUAUAAUUGAGAUUAUUCAUACUUCGUAGAGUACAUGGAAGAAUAAGAUAUUUAUAAUCUUAAUGAUGCAUAUUCAAAUUCAAUUGAUGAUGAACUUGGUCAAGGACCAACAAAU